rnacentral:lncRNA from 10 species
UUCUCCUCCCAUUCAAAUCCAAUUUGCUGGUCAGGUAAGUCCUUCUAGAUGCCCCAUGGUAAUAAAAUCUCCCAGGUUAAUUAACAGACUCCCACACAAAAUCAAAGCCUUGCCCAGGCUCUUUCACUGAGAACAAAUAAAUGAAAUGGAUGCUGCCCUCAGAGGUGCCAGACCAAGCCCACAUGAAAAUGUUUUGAUUCCUGAGACACAAAACCAUUUAUUUUUGGUUCAUUUCAGUAUCUAUAGCAGUGCACAAAUAACACAUUUCCAUCCACAUGAAUAGUUCCCAAUUGUUGGAGCAAAUUAAUCUUUUACAAGCUACUCAGCAGUGAGGUUAGAAGAUAAACAGUAGAUGAAAUCGUACACUUUCCCCUGUAUGUGAACUUUCUUAUUACAAUAAACUCCUACAUUUGAGCUCACCACAUCCAAUGACUGCCCCUCUCUGUUCAUGUGGCGGCCCCGGCUGCCCCCUGCCACCUCUGCCCUGCUGAGGUAGUUCUCUGAUCAGCCACCUGGGUGGGGCAUGCUGCCAUUUUCAGUUUGGAAGGAAAAGCCUGUAAAUCUGCUUCCUGGGAAGAGAGACACUGCUGAAUUGUCAUUUGCCUCCAGAAUGCAGAAAACAUCAAUUUCAUUGCAGCUCAUCAGGGUUGGAAACACCUGCCACUUCCUUUCUCGGUUGCAAUUAACAUGGUGCAUCUUGGCAUUGAUUGAUUCCAAGCAGCCUAACACUGCCAAAGUCAAGGUUUAAAUGAACAGUACAACCUGAGAUGAUUUUUCACAGUUUUAGAAAUACAAACUUAUUUUUACUGCCCAAGAAGCCCUGUGAUAGUGGGGGAUAUUCUUUAUGCUUGAGAUAAACGUGAGUAGAAUAGGUUGAUGCUUAUAAUAAAAAUAGCUUUUCAUCUUUGUAUUUGGGGAUGGUACCUAUUUCUUGAUCUUUGUAUUUAUUUGGAGGUGGAGUUAAGGACUAAUAUUCUUUCUGUAUCUCAGCAUCUGGCACAGGGCUGCAGAACCCCAUGGGCAUUCAGAGGAUGUUAAAUAAUAGGGGCCAAACCACCUUCUCUCUUGGCCCUCUUGGGAGAUUCAUCCUUUAGGAUGGAAAUAUAACAAAUUAAAAUAAGUGGCAAUUAAUUCUUUUGCACAAUAACAACUCAAACAUGACACGCUUGAACAUCAUCUGUUAAGUGUAUGCAGGCAUCAAAGGAUGCACUUUUAUGCAACUGACAGAAAAGACUGGGGCCUGAAUAUUGCUGCAUAUUCUAGAAUGAAAACUGAAGUUAUAAAUCUUUUUCUUAUAAUGAGUUGAUAUUCUUGUGCAUCCAUAAUCUUACCUCUAAAUGCCUGAUAGCUGAAAUCUUUAAUACUAUACAACUCACUGCCCCAAACAUCUGGGUUAUUUGUAUAUUAAAUAGCUUAUGUACCAAUUUCUUAGUGCUAAUAGGUCUUCUCCAAAUUAUAACACCUGAAAACCUGAAUUAUGAGGAAAUGAUAUUAUCAAUUCUCACCAAUACACAAAUAAAUAAAAAUAGAUAAAUAUCCAGAAGUGGUACAGUUUUCAUAGGUAGGCAGGUAGGUAGGUGCCUCCUCAUAUUGCCUAAUAAUAGAAUUCAGGCCCUGGAAGACCUGAUUCUUAUUUUUUUUUUAAAAAAAAAAAGGAAGGAAGGAAAGAAAAGGAAAAAGAACUGCAACCUUUGGAACUUGCUAUAACAUAGAAAGAUUGUGCUUAAAUGUAACCCAAAGCAUUGGCUGACUCAGAGGAAAUCCAGUUAUACAUCUAAUUUCUGGCUUGUGAGCUGGCCAGAUUGGUGCGUGCAGAGAGCGUCUCUGACAGAAGUGGUUUAUGGAUUGAUUUGAGAGAAAUUUGGUCUCCAGUCAGAGCCAACUGUUGCAGAGCACCUUUUGUCUAAUGACACAUUUAAACACUUGCCGAAAUGAGAGCGGCCAAAUACACAACCAAGAGUUCUUUAGUGUUUCUCUUAUCGAUAAUAGACUAAAUCUUCAAAGAAUCCGAGCAAAAACAAUCAAAUGUUUUAUGACAACACAUCACCAUAUUAAAUCUUCUCUUCUUUGGCCCCCAUGGGAACCCUCAUAAUGCCCCAGGAAUUCCAACAUGUCAGCACACAAACUCCAUCUUCCAGCUUUCUUUUCAAACUGAAAUGUCAUUAAAAAAAUUCAUGACCCAGUUUGGGAUUUGGUAAAUAGGGUCACUGCAUUCAGCCCUCCCUCUAAGUCAGAAGUGGUUUUGUCCUUGCUCUGUAGAGUUCCUGGGGAGAGGGAGAGAUACUUCUCUCUUUGAGUCUAAGAAGACCACCAGCGAGAAGCAUUCCUUCUCUUGUACCCUAGUGUGUUCAGUUUCAGUAGCGGCACCAACCUCACCAAUAUUUUAUCAACAAAUAAAAGAAGUUCCCCUCUUUUUUUUUUUUUUUUUGCCAUCAUCAACACUUAUUUAAAAAGUACUUUAAAAUCAUUCAUUUUCUGAAAAUGCUUUUCAUUAUUUUCCAGGGUCCAUAAAAAGCAUAGCACGGGGACGAAAAGCUUUUCUAAGCCAGCAGUGUUUGGUGAACACUAACAAUCCCACUGGCAUAAAGUUAAAGUUUUAUUUCCUUUUUUCUUUUCUUCUUAAAAUAAAAUUAAGGCUCAAAUGUUCUAUUAAGCUCUCAUUGCUUAUGUAUAUUAUAUUAAGGCUUAUAAAUGCACCUGGUAAAUUAAAUUCACC